AGCGAACGCUGGCGGCAGGCCUAACACAUGCAAGUCGAACGAAGUCUUCGGACUUAGUGGCGGACGGGUGAGUAACACGUGGGAACGUGCCUUUAGGUUCGGAAUAACUCAGGGAAACUUGUGCUAAUACCGAAUGUGCCCUUCGGGGGAAAGAUUUAUCGCCUUUAGAGCGGCCCGCGUCUGAUUAGCUAGUUGGCGAGGUAAAGGCUCACCAAGGCUACGAUCAGUAGCUGGUCUGAGAGGAUGACCAGCCACAUUGGGACUGAGACACGGCCCAAACUCCGACGGGAGGCAGCAGUGGGGAAUCUUGCGCAAUGGGCGAAAGCCUGACGCAGCCAUGCCGCGUGGAUGAUGAAGGUCUUAGGAUUGUAAAAUCCUUUCACCGGUGAAGAUAAUGACUGUAGCCGGAGAAGAAGCCCCGGCUAACUUCGUGCCAGCCGCCGCAGUAAAAC
rnacentral:rRNA from 1 species